GCUGGAAGCUGCUGCUUAACAUCAACUCAGGAGUCCUGGAAGAAAAGACACGAGAAAAGGGGUGGACUGUUAAUUCAACACAGAAUUGAACUGAAGGGAAUGCAGAGAGCCCUUCUUUCCUGACCCAGAAAGGGAAACAACUGUGGCUACACUGCAAAAGAUGCUGGGAUGUAUAUCUAGCCAAAGUUCCACACUUAAGUCAUAGUUAAGUAAUACAGACUGAAGCCAACAACCAUGCAAAUCCAGCCUCAUUUGCACAGGUGUGAAUGAUUCCAUCCAGAAUAAAACCAGUGCAGCCCUGCUGCGUAAUGAGUUGCAGCUGGGAGGGGAGCACCAAGGAAAAGUAUUUUGGCUGCAGUGGAAAGCCAAGCCCAAGGGGGUCCUGGCACGCUGGUGCAGCCAUAGCUGGAGACCAGGACAGCUUAUACUAUUUUCCCUAAAAAAAAAGCAUUAGUAAAAUCAUACAUGAAAAAUAUUUAAAGUUGUUUGAGCAGCUUCAAUUGUCUUGGGGAAGGAAAAAGAAAAAAAUAGGUUUAUAAUAGAAAGCUAAUUAUGACUUUAAGAGACAGCCUCUCCAUAAUUAGUGAGUGGCACACUUUCUCAGACUGUGUUCUAUUUCUAGGCUUGGCCUUUCAAAGAUUGUCCUUUAUUAUGUUGCUGUGG